ACAUGCCUACAACAUAGUGUUAAUGAACUGAAUCCCAUUAGAACUCCGCAGUUAAGCGCACUCAAACUAUAGUAGUACUAGGAUGGGUGACCACCUGGGAAGUCCUAGUGUUCUACAUGCC
rfam:Picea glauca, whole genome shotgun sequence.